rnacentral:rRNA from 1 species
UACGUAGGGGCCAAGCGUUGUCCGGAUUUAUUGGGCGUAAAGAGCUCGUAGGCGGUUCGGCAAGUCAGCUGUGAAAUCUCCACGCUCAACGUGGAGGGGUCAGCUGAUACUGCUGUGACUUGAGUCCGGUAGGGGAGUGUGGAAUUCCCGGUGUGAGCGGUGAAAUGCGCAGAUAUCGGGAGGAACACCAGUAGCGAAGGCGGCACUCUGGGCCGGUACUGACGCUGAGACGCGAAAGCGUGGGGAGCGAACAGG